UGCUCCAUGCACCAGAGCGGAAAUUCCUCUGCAGCCCAUAGAGGUUAAUGGGGGAGCAGAUCUCCACCUGCAGCCCAUGCAGAACCACACACCAGAGCAGGCAGGUGCCCAGAGGAGACUGUGAUCCCAUGGGAAGCCUGCAAUGUAGCAGGCUCCUGGUAGGACCUGUGGCCCCAUGUCUAGAGGAGCCCACACUGCAGCAGGUUUGCUUCAGGUCCUGUGGGAGACCCACAUUGGAGCAGCCUGCUCCUGAAGGACUGAACCUUGUGGAAGGGACACACUCUGGAGCAGAACAGGAAAAUCUGCAGCCCCUGGGAAACACUCAGUGAGCCGUGUGGGUGUCUCUCUCAGUGGAAGCUGACAAUUUGAUGAUACUUCAUCAGUGUAGGACUCCUGCUGAGAAGUAGAUUGAGACAAAGAAAAUGCCUCUUAUCAUUGGAACAAAUAAGAAAUCAGAUUUUCUAAAUUACUGUUAGGCAGAUGGUCUCUCAGGGGACCAUGAAUGAACAGUGUAGCACUAUCAACAUUAGUUCUGGUGCAUGGAAGAAAUGUGCCCUCCAUCUUCAUGAUGUGGUGCCUGGAUCUUGCUGACCCAUAACACACCAAUCUCUUGCAUUUUUCUGUAGCUUUGCUGUACUCUCUUCAGUUCCUCCCUUGGAUGCCAAGUCCUGAAUAGCCCACAGUACAAGUUACAGCUUGCAAUGUCCAACUGACUUUUACUGUCAUCAACGAACUGAUAUUUGUUUCAUGUAGUGAAAUGAAUGCCUCUCCUAGCUGUUUGGAAAGCAAAUCUCUCUUUACCCUCCAGCUGGUAUUUGCUGUACUUGAGUGAGCCUGGUAAAAUUCUUGGGUUAUAAUUUCAUGCUGCUGUGUUUGGGCAGAACUAACAAGAUUUCUUAAGGCCUCCUUGAGUUUUUUAAGCCAAGCAACUGCUCUUUUCCUUGAUGGAGCUCUCCACGGCCUUAACAGCAUUGCACACACAGAUCUUCAAACAGGGACAGCAAGCAAACAGUGUUAUUACCUGCAACAACAGGUUCUGCUGAGCAUAAUGAUACACUGAGAUAGGACCUUACUGAACUUUCUGAAGUUCCCCACAACACAGUCAUAUUGCACCUUUUAUGUCUGUGCCGAGGUUCACCCUGGCUGGACACAAGGUGCCACCAAAGGUGCUCUGUCACUGCUCUCCUCAGCAGGACAGUGGGGAGAAAAUGUAACAGAAGGCUUUUGG